UACUUGCUGACAGCGACGAAGACGAAUCAAGAAGAGGAACAUUGUUGAGAAAGUGAUUGGGACUUGCAAACAGGGUAAGUGUAACACUUGUGUUUGUUUAAUUUGUAACAUGCGUGCUUUGCUCUGUUUCAGAUUUCACAUGCAGAAAUUAAACAGGAUUUCAACUGCUGAGACACAAUUCAUCAAAAGUAAGGUAAGUUUUAAUUCAUUGAUUUGAGUUGUACAAUGUGUUCUUUACUUUAUUUCAGAUUCGAGUCACUGGUUUACACAUGGAAGAAGAUUUCCACGUCUGUUACUCAACUCUACAGAAGCAAGGGAGCUGUGGUAAGUAUUGUAGUAUUAAUUUGUCUCAAUAAACGAUGAUGAAUGAAAACUGAUGUCGAUUCUUUUUGUACAGUUUUAGGUAUUAGCACUCUAUACAAAACUCUGUCGGUCGGUGUUUGUGAAUGUGAGCUUAAUGUUUGAGUAGAACAAAAAUGUCUUUACUUUUGUGAUCGCCAGUUGUCUGUGAUGUAAAGUGGAAAAAACACAGCUAUGAAGCAUACAAUUGUUUCAAUAUUUUAUCAAUGAUAGUGUGCUAUGCAUGUUUUGAUUUAGUUCGUUUCAGAUAUGACAUGACAUGAAGAGUUGACAGUCGAACAGAGCUGAGCAAUGCAGAAAGGUAAGUGUGUUUCAUUUUAGUAUGAACACUUGUAUUUUGUUUUUAUAUGGUAUGUUUUGUGCAUGCUAUGUUUCAGGUGUACUUGUAGUCAGCGACGAAGACGAUUCAAGAAGAGGAACAUUGCUGAGAAAGUGAAUGGGACAUGCAAACAGGGUAAGUGUUACAAUUGUUGGUUUGAUUUUUACCAUGCAUACUUUUUCAUAUUUCACAUGCAGAAAUGGUCUCAUAGCAGUGCCAACAGUGAAUAAGGAUUUCAGCUGCUGUGAAACAACUCAACAGAAAGUAGGUAAGCAUUGAAUGAAUGCACUUGAGUUGUACAAUUUGAUGUGAUGCUUUUUUUCUGUUUCAGAUUCAAGUUUCUGGUGUAGACAGAAAAUGUGUUUGAAGAAGGAAUUCUACUACUGUGAUUCAACUCUACAGAAGCAAGGUAAGUAGAAACAAAAUUUUGGUUUAAUUUAACUCAUGUGUUUUGCACUGCAUGCUAUUUUUCAGGUCUCUCAUGCAGUGAGGGAAAAGAAGAAGAUUUCAAGAAAAAAUCACUGCUGCAACUCAGGCCGAUAACAAGGUAAGCGUUUACUAUAUUGUAUACAAAAUGUUUUUCUGUUUUACUCUGUUUCAGGUUUCAAUUGCAGAGAUGUUGCAGAGAUGUUUUGACAGCUUGUGACAGAAAAGAAAUUCAGCAGCUGUGUCUCGACUCUAGCCACGAGGUAAGUCAAAACAAAUAUACUGGUUUGUAUGUAAUGUUGUUAUGCCCUUCUAUGUUUCAGACUUACAUUGCUGUGACUGUUCCACAGUGGGUCAAAAAAGAGACGAAUACAGGUUUCAAGAAGAAAAUUGGCUGUUGAAAACCUGCACAAAAUAUGAGGUAAGUAAACUAUUCUUUUGGUUUGUUUUGUGCUUUGUUAUGCUUAACUAUUUUUCAGAUUGGAAUGGUGGGUCGUUACAGAGCAGACUUUUGGACAACUGAGAAGUUGAGAAACAGAUAAUGAUUCAAUAUCAGCUAGGUAAGUCUUGAUUAUUCUGCAUUGUAAAAUGUGUUUCUUUUUCAUUUCAGUAUGGCUGUGGUAAGUACACUAACUUUCUAUAAUUUCAUAUUGAACUGUUUUGAUGACUUGUAUUAUGCAUUGCUAAAUGUUUUUUUCAUUUCAGUAUCCUGUGGUAAGUACACUAACUUUCUUUAAUUUUCAUAUUGAACUGUUUUGAUGACUUGUAUUCUGCUAUACAAAAUGUGCUUUUUUCAAUUUCAGGUCAGCAAUGGUAAGUAUAUUGUGUUUCUUUAUGUAUAAUUUUGUAUACAUAUUGUUUUUUUCAUCAUAGCAUGUUUUUUAUAUUUAUGCUUUGUGUAAGUAAAAUGUUCAUAAAUCAUUCUUAUCUUUAAACUAAAAAUGUAUUUUGAUAUGCAAAAUGUCUGUAUGAUUUCAGUUGCCAGAGGUGAGUACCAUUACAGUUGAAAAGUUAGUUUUGUUUAGUUAAAGUUUUGGUUCACAGUUCUGUUUAUUAUUUGGCAAAAUUUACAUGUAUGCAUUGAGUCUUGAUUUCAGCUCGAUUGUGGACUGAAGAAGAUUGCCAGCAGAGGGAUUGGAUACAAAAUACAAAGUAAGUACUGAGUUUCUUACUAAAAGUUUUGAGUUGUAUUCAUUGUGUGUUAAUAUGCUAUGAUUGCUAUGAACAUGACUUUUGUAUUUCAGCGAAGACAACAUAGGUAAGUAAAAUUGUUAUCUGUUUCAAGUUUACUGUUAUAGUUCAAUAUUGUGUUUAUAAAUUGUAAGUUGUACAAACACAUUCAAAAGUUUCUGAUCAUGCUUUCAAUUUCAUUUCAGCCCUACUACAAGACGAGUGUUUUCUACUACUAGACGUGUCAGGUUUACUUCCAGGCGAGCAGUGACAACAAGGCGCCUUUGUGGAAACAGCAAAACAAACAACUCUACUGCAAGACGAGCAGUAACAGCAAGGCGCCUGAACAUGCAACACAAUACAAAAAAUGCCAAUAUCCAAACCUUGAUGUGGACACCGAGUAGUCAAUACAUACGUGUGGCGUAUAGCUGCGACAAAACCGUGGGUCCAUCGCACCGAUAACUUGAACAUUGGCCCGUGUAUGGACAUCAGUGCAACUUUGUGAAUCCAUGUAUCUUUGUGAAUCCAUGUAACAUUGCGAAUGUGUGUCGAUCGAAAAAUGUGUACAUUCUGAACUGAAACGAACUCGGUGUUGCAAGUGGCAAGUGUUGACAGUGUGUAUGUUUAUGUUUAUGUUUUUACAUGAAAACUAAAGGAGAUUGUUCUCCUACCUUUUUUUUCCUUGUUUUAUUGCGCUGGCCAGCAAUAUUGAUGUAUUGAUGUAUGUGUUUGUGUUUAAACUAUGCAAUACCAAAAUCAAACAAAAAAUAAACAUUAACAGUCAUUAACUGUG